AACGAACGCUGGCGGCAGGCCUAACACAUGCAAGUCGAGCGGACCCUUCGGGGUUAGCGGCGGACGGGUGAGUAACGCGUGGGAAUAUGCCCUUCUCUACGGAAUAGUCCUGGGAAACUGGGGGUGAUACCGUAUACGCCCUUUGGGGGAAAGAUUUAUCGGGGAAGGAUUAGCCCGCGUUGGAUUAGGUAGUUGGUGGGGUAAUGGCCUACCAAGCCGACGAUCCAUAGCUGGUUUGAGAGGAUGAUCAGCCACACUGGGACUGAGACACGGCCCAGACUCCUACGGGAGGCAGCAGUGGGGAAUCUUAGACAAUGGGGGCAACCCUGAUCUAGCCAUGCCGCGUGAGUGAUGAAGGCCUUAGGGUUGUAAAGCUCUUUCAGCUGGGAAGAUAAUGACGGUACCAGCAGAAGAAGCCCCGGCUAACUCCGUG
rnacentral:rRNA from 1 species